CCUACGGGUGGCAGCAGUGGGGAAUAUUGCACAAUGGGGGAAACCCUGAUGCAGCAACGCCGCGUGAGUGAAGAAGUAUUUCGGUAUGUAAAGCUCUAUCAGCAGGGAAGAAGAUGACGGUACCUGAAGAAAAAGCAUCGGCUAACUCCGUGCUAGCAGCCGCGGUAAUACGGAGGAUGCGAGCGUUAUCCGGAUUGAUUGGGUUUAAAGGGUGCGUAGGCGGGUUAUCAAGUCAGCGGUAAAAUCGUGGAGCUCAACUCCAUCCAGCCGUUGAAACUGAUGAUCUUGAGUGGGCGAGAAGUAUGCGGAAUGCGUGGUGUAGCGGUGAAAUGCAUAGAUAUCACGCAGAACUCCGAUUGCGAAGGCAGCAUACCGGCGCCCGACUGACGCUGAAGCACGAAAGCGUGGGUAUCGAACAGGAUUAGAUACCCGGGUAGUC
rnacentral:rRNA from 1 species